CCUGGCGAGGGGGACGUCUCGGCAAGGGCAAAGUAAAGUUAUCUGCUGCUCCCUGUUGGAGAGCGCAAUGUCACGGCAUGUGCUCGCGCUAUUAUUAAUAGCACGCGGGGCGGCCCUGGCGGGGGCGAAACUGACACUCUCUGGGCGGAAGAGUUAACCCUUCCACGGGGCGACCCAAGUUCUGGCGAGGAGGAGCGCAAGUGGCGCCGCGGGAAAUGGGGAAGCGCACGAAGAUGCGCGCUGCGCCCUCGCGGUGGUGGCGCGCGCGCCUGUGCGUGCUGUUACAACAUACGAAAUAAAAGAAACCCGCCCUUCUUCCUCCAAAGAGCUCAGGAGUGGGCAACCAGAUGUCUCUGAGGAGCCUCCUAGCUGGACCUGAGCUGGACUCUCCCCAGUAAUCCUUUCGACAGCUCUGUAAAGAUGAAGCCCAAGGAACAAGAGAUUGCCCCUUUCAGAGACGCAACAAUGGAUCACCUCCAGCCCAAACCACUGGGAAGUUUUCUCUGUGUUUUGUUGAGGGCUCCUGGAAACCAGCACUAUACAACUUACUUAAAAGGAGAGCGCAUGAGAAGGGGAGGCGGCAUGAAUCGACACAUUGUGGGAAGACAAGAUGAGAGGGAGACACACUGAACUCUUAACUCUGCCUCCAGAUACUUCUCUGGCCAAGACUAACAUUAUUGUCCUUAAUGGAAGGAAAUUGAAACUACUUCCAAAGUAAUUCUCAGUCUUUAUCGCAGAAGGCUGAAAUGAGCGGAGGCAUUUCAGGGCUAGAGAUGGAGACAGGAGGUUCAGAAAGUCAGGGAAAUAUCUGAGGGGUGUGUGUGUGUGUGUGUGUGUGAAACAAGGGGACAAGACUUUUAUCCCAAAGCUAUUGUAAAUCUAAAGCAGGGUUUAUCCUCCUCUGUGAAAUGAAAAUUGGGGCGGGGGGUGUUGAGAUCAAGAACAACAUUUGAGCCACAAAGACUGUCAUGGGCCACUGCAAGUUUGCAGAAUUAUAUGUAAAUGACCUAAGUUUUGAAUGUGGUGGCCUUGUGCUAAUCCCAGAGAGAAUAUCUACUUAGCAAAAGAAAGUGAGGGAGGGUGGUGUGGUGGUUUUUGUCUAAUUUGGUUAACAGUGGCCAAAAGUUGAAUAAAUUAAUAAUAAUUUAUAUUUCCAGGGUAACACUAUCUCUGUAAUGCUUCUGUGCUGCAGGAGUUUCUGAAUGGCUUUGCGCCAGGAGAGAGAGAAAGAAAUAGUCAAAGUUUUUUUUUCUUCUUCUUUCUCUCUCCAUAUUCUAUCUCAAGGGAUGAAGAAAAUGAGUGUAAGACAUGUUUUCCAAUAAUGGGCGCCAGGCACUCAAUUUCUGCC